UCCCAGGAAAUUUAAAUCCUCAUAGUUCGCUUUUGCUUCUCAAAUAUGUUCUUCUCUUUUGUAAAAAUGCUCCCCCUUGUUUUUUCGUUUUGUGUGGGGGUUAUUUGCGUGAUUGAAUUUCCGAACGGGAAUACAUACGUACUGAAUGAUUAAGAUGGUUCCAGUCUCCAGAUGCUUCUUUUUCUCUUCUCUGAUUAGUGGGAUCAGGGAAAUUGUGAAGGUGGUGGUGGGUGGGAAAGAAGAGAGGAGAGAAAUGGAGGAAGCAAUAGUAGCAAGGUAUUGGUGUCACAGAUGCUCUCAAAUAGUCCAUCCUAACAUGGAAGUUGAGAUCAAAUGCCCCUUUUGCCAAACCGGAUUCAUUGAGGAAAUGAGUAGCACCACCACCCCGGGCAAUCAAGUCACUUAUAUCGACACUGACACCGAUUUCGGAUCUGACCGGGCCCUUUCGCUCUGGGCACCUAUCUUGCUCGGCAUGAUGGGCAAUCCUCCCCGUCGCCGCCGCAGAAGAUUCAGACGCCUGGACUUUGAGUUGGGGCAUGAAGAUGAAGAUGAAGAUAAUGAUGACAAUGGUGAUGACGGCCGUAGGGGAGGAGAGACUGAAUUGGAUCGUGAGCUUGAAUCCAUCAUUAGGAGGAGGAGGCGAAGCUCAGCUACUAUACUACAAUUGCUUCAAGGGAUUCGAGCUGGAAUGGCAUCUGAAUUGACUGAAAAUUUUGAGGGUGAUAGGGAUAGAGAGAUGGAUAGAGAAAGAGAGCGCCUAGUUUUGAUCAAUCCUUUCAAUCAGACUAUCAUCGUUCAGGGUUCUAAUGAUUCAAGCAGGGCUCAAAGCGAGAACCAGAGCCCCAUUGGAUCUUUAGGCGACUAUUUCAUUGGGCCUGGUUUGGAUUUAUUGCUACAGCAUUUGGCUGAGAAUGAUCCAAAUAGAUACGGGACUCCACCUGCAGAAAGGGAGGCGAUUGAAGCAUUGCCUACCGUGACGGUCAAGGAGAAUUUGCAGUGUUCAGUGUGUUUGGAUGAGUUUGAGGUUGGUUCUGAAGCAAAGGAGAUGCCAUGCAAGCAUAAGUUUCAUAGUGGGUGUAUUCUGCCAUGGCUGCAGCUUCAUAGUUCUUGUCCAGUCUGCAGGUAUCAGUUGCCUGCGGAUGAGACCAAGCAUGAUUCAGAUGGGUCUAGGAACAGCAGUAGUCAAAGGGAGAGGGAGAAUGAUCACGGCAUUGGUGAAGAGGGAGAUGGGAGAAGUGCUAAUGGGAGAAGGUUUUCAAUUCCAUGGCCUUUUAAUGGUCUGUUUUCUUCUUCUGGUGGGGGCAAUUCUUCCUCUAGUUCCUCAUCUUCGUCAGCUAAUGCCACCGGAGGUGGAAAUGCUUCUUAUCAAACAGAUGAGAAUUGAGUAUAUUUUCAUCAGUUGUUACAUCAGGAGGUGGAGCCGCUUGAUAUGAACAAACUCCAUUACAGAUGGACUUCCUGCUUGUGGUAUCUGACUCGGUUCUAGGCACUCGCAAAUUGCAAGAUGUCGGGUGUCUUAAGUGAACCGUUCCCAGAUGGUCUCACUUCUACUUCAAAUCUCAAUUGCACUUGGCAUGGCAGAGUUUCACAAUACACUGGGUCAAAGCUUGUACAAAAGAUAAAAAUCCCAACUCGCGAUAUGGAGAGUGAGCGAAAUGGAUCCAGACUUGUUUUAACAUUUUUUCUGGGAGGGGGGAGGGAGUGAUUGAGAAGUUUUGUAAAACCUGCAAGCCCGACAGCCUAAAGGGUGUCAAUUUGUGUCGGCUCGAUGGGCUCAUUCAUAAAUGAAACUCUUUCUGAUACUUUCAUUUUUAA